AGGUCAGGUUCAACAUGCUCUGCGGAGGUCAAAGGUCAGGUUCAACACGCUCUGCGGAGGUCAAAGGUCAGGUUCAACACGCUCUGCGGAGGUCAAAGGUCAGGUUCAACACGCUCUGCGGAGGUCAAAGGUCAGGUAUAAACGCGCUAUAGAGGUCAAAGGUCAGGUUCAAAAAAGGUACCUGGGCUUAGGGACCACGAUGUUAGGAGUUAGGAUCACAGCCUUUAGAAGGCUGAGAACCACCGGUCUAGUGAGUGAGUGAGUAAUGGUGUUGAGUGAGAGAGUGAGUGAGUAAUGGUGUUGAUAAUGGUGUUGAGUGAUUGAGCGAGUGAGUGAGUAAUGGUGUUGAGUGAUUGAGCGAGUAAUGUGAGUGAGUGAGUGAGUGAGUGAGUGAGUGAGUGAGUGAGUGAGUGAGUGAGUGAGUGAGUGAGUGAGUGAGUGAGUGAGUGAGUGAGACCUGUGGGCGUGGCCAGCGUGUCAAAGUGGGUCUUCAUCAGGCCGGGGUUCUCCUCCACCUCCUCCUCCUCCACCCCUGAGCUCCCCAGGGAGCUGGCCUGGCUAAGGGAGUCUGUGUCUGGGGGAGGGACCGCUUUGCAUCACUUCCUGUCCACACACACAUCACUUAGUGUCCACACACACACACAUCACUUCCUGUCCACACACACACACACACACACACCGUCCUGCUGGUAUCCGGCUGAUCCGUCGCAGUAGGCGGAGUCCUGGCUCAGCUCUGCCCCUGGCUCCGCCCCCUGACGAACCCCACGCUGCUCUGCCGCCUGCACCUCGAAGUCCCUGCACAC
ensembl:lncRNA